UGCUAGUUUUUUUAAUAAUAGUUAGAAGGUACCCUUACUUGGUUUUACAGCAUUUUCAUCCUGUCUUACAACCACUGAGUAACCCCAGUUCUCUAACUGACGCAGAGGCUGUCAGCCGUCACUUGUUUUGUCUGAAGCUAGUGGGCCUUAGGAACUUUCUGUCCUGGCAUAGGGUGUGACACUAUUGUCUUUUGGGGGAAAACAUGUGGGGAGGGGGCACUUAGAAUGGCAGCAUAGAAAGAAGGAAUAAGUUAAGCAUUGACGAAGUUCAUUGUCAAAGUUCAUUGUGUUUUAAUUAUUUAAGUAAUGUUUUAAUUACAUAACCUUCACACUUUUUUUACUUCUGCCUGUUCAAGCGGGACUUUUGCAGAUAAAAAAUAGAACUGCAGAAAAUUGGUCGCAGAUCUCGUUAGGCAGCGGAGUUAUGAGUGGGACUAACUUUCCAUGUGCCAGGGUACAGAAACAUGGCUUUUUAUUCUGUGAACCACCCUGAGAUCUUACGAUGAAGGGCAGUAUAUAAAUUUAAUAAGUACUAAUAGUAGUAGUAAAAAUAGGUAGUUCAUCUAUUGAAUGUAUUAUUCAUUUUAUUCAACUUUUAAAAUCAAAAUGUAUUAAAUAUUUUCUUGGGUUAUAAAAGUACAUACAGGGUCUCUGCUUUCGGUUAAUAGAAUUCAUUCUACAAAUUGUUCAUAUUCGAUGUGAGACAAUAAUGUUAUAGACAGUAUAAAGUCGUGGGGGAAGAGAAUGGCGAGAGAGAGUGGGAGGUGAGAGAAGGGGGAUAUUAAACUCAUUCUUCUACAUAGGUUGUAAAAUUUUGUGUCAGCAUCACAUGGGUAGGUUCUCUUUCUAUUCAUUUAUUAGUUUCCAUUGGCCGUGAGGGAGAUUGGGGGGCCUAGAGCAUGGUUGGUUGCCUAUAGUUGACUGCAGUGAGUUUUGUUUGUAUGUGUGAGUGGAAGAGGACUGUUGGGUCAGCUUAGGCAUAUCAAUUAAUAUGCUGUCGGUGGGUUCCUGUUGUGGUCUUGCUGGGCUGUGUACGGAAUAAAGGGGAGCCACAGCAGGGUGACGGCAUCCUAUUUAGUUUGUCCCUGUGCUAGUUUCAAUUUGUUGGUUAGCUUUUCUAGGAGGUGGCUUAUGAGUUAUUUGCAGUGUGAGUGUGUGUGUGUUAUUGUAUUGGAAGAUAUUUAGUAAGGACAGUUCUGGAGUGGCUUCUGGUACCUGUUAUUUUGAAUAUUUCUUGUAUGAUUGACAUCCAAAAGGGUUGAAUUUUUGGGCAAUCCCACCACAUGUGGAGGUAUGUGCCUGUAGAGGUGCAACAUCCUCGGCAUUUUGGUGAGGUUGCUGGGUGUAUCAGCACCCACUUCCAUGGGGUUAGGUACCACCUAUAGAUUAGCUUCAAAGUGAAUUCCCUUCUUUUGGCUGAGAUGGAUUUUAAGGAUGGUUUAGAUCACAGUUUAGUUCAUUGGGUAGGGUUUAUUUCAUAACCUAUGUCAUGCUCCCAUUGUUUUUUGAUUGAGAUGUGGGGUUUCAACUGUGUUUAUAUCCAAUGGAUUUCCAUGAAUCCUAAAGGAAAAAUGAGGAUGCAUUACAUUUAGCUUCCAGUGCUUUUUAUUAAACUGUUUUUUCCCUGAAUUGAAUGAGCCAUGUCAUUCAACAUGCCACUGUCUAGUUCAGUGCCGUUACCAUGAUGAAUCCUGACAAGAAUUUUUGCUCCUGGCUUUUGUGCAGAAAUGUAAAUGAUAACAGAGCUAGACAAGUUAUAAUUCAAUUACGUAACAUGUGAAGCUCCUGCUGCUAGAACCAGGGCAGAACACACCUUUGGCUAUUACGUCAGCUUCUCCUUCCGUGCAUUAUGCUCCAGUGCUUUCUCCAACAUUUGCUUGCUGUUUUGUGAAACAUACUGGAGUGUUUUCAGCUGUUGCACUUAAACCCGCUUUGGGUUUCCCCUCUUAUUUAGCUAAUUAUUCUAGCAGCAAAAGAUUGCCUAAGGACUCGUCUGCACAGCUGCAAUUAUAACAUUAUAAGUGUGUUAUAAAAAUGUGACACCAGAUGGAUCUGUAGAGCUGAAUGGCAAAUCGCAAAUAUAUUUUAUUUAUUUUAUAGCAUUUUUAAUAGCAUUUUAAUAGCAUUUUUUAUGUCUGUGUAGAUCCAGCUUAAGUGUAAUCAGUUCUACAUGUGUGAAAGAAAACAAGAGAUAAAGAUUGAUUCUGAAUUCAACCUUUGACUAAUGAGCUAGAACUAUAGCACCUGUCUUGAGCACAAAACAGAAAGUUUGUCUGUCAUGAGAGCAGGAAGGGGUGACCUUGUUCACAAUCCUUGCAUCUACCUUCUAUUAUUCCCUUUAGCCACUUUAUGCUUGCUUGCUUGCUUAAUUAAUUAACCACUUUUCUUCAAAGGAACUCAAGUUGGUGUACAUGGGUCUCCUCCUCCCCAGUUCAUUUUCACAACAACCCUGUGAGGUAGAUUAUGCUAAGAGAUGGAUACUACCCUAGGGUCACUCAGUGAGCUUCAUGGCUGAAUGGGGAUUCGAACCCUGGUCUCCCAGGUCAUAGUCCAGUGCUCUAACCAUUACACCACACUGGCUCUUACUGUAUUGUGCUUGAGGCAGUGAAGCAUUGGAUACUGUUUGCUCAACCAAUGUGAUAGCUUGGACUAUCUAGCCCUGCCCUAUAAUACUAGCCGGCUCAUGCCUUAAGAUAUUUGGAGAAGGCUCCUUUCCAGGUCCCAUACUAUCUCAAAACAACCACAAUAAGUUUUUUUAAUGUGUUUGGAAUGGCACUGAUCAAACCUGCAUGGAUUGUAAGAAGACGUUGCUCACUACAGUAGCAACAUUGAUGCCAACCAAUACGUGCUUACAGCUCUAAUGCAAACAUCAUUCACUGUUGCUGGUUUUUUUGGGGGGAAAGCUACAUUGCCCCAGCAAAUUGCAUCAUUGCAUCAUUAGUGCUGCAAAAACAUGAUAUCCUAGUUAUCGCAGUGCUAGAUUGUUUUUACAUUUCAAAGCUUCUGUUAUGAAAUACUACUACCAUAUCUGCUUGCAUCUACACCACACAUUCAAAGCACAUGGCUUCCCCCAAAUAAUCAUGGGAACUGUAGUUUGCUCCCUCACAGAAAUACAAUUCCCAGCACCCUUAACAAACUACAGUUCCAAAUAUACCUAGGGUUAAGCCAGGUGCUUUAACUGCAUUGAGUUGUUCUUCUGUACUUUGUGUCUCUUUUCCACCACUAACAGUUUCUUUUGGCGCCUACCUAAUUUGCCCUAGCGUGCAUGGGAAAUCACUGUCCAUGUGGCAACACUAGCCAGAAAGACAAUGGCAGGAACAUGGUAGCAGGGCCUGGUGGUGGGUCUCUCAACCAUCUCUGGAUCCCAGUAAAUGCUUGGCCCUCUUGCAGCUGCCAUCAACUUUUCACUGUGCGCACACAAGCAGUAGUGUUUUCCAUUCCCUUAUCUUCUGUUCCUUGAACAAAAUUACUGUCUGCCUCCAGCCACAAUAAUUUAUUUAAAUUGAGACCUUAUUUAAGUCACUUGGUGCCAUUGAUUUUAGUACAUCAACCAAAUUGGAGUGGUUUUGCACAAUGUCAUUGGCCUGGACGUAUUGACAUAAUUAUCAAAUUAAAGAAAGAAAUGAAGCCAUCCCUCUGUUUGUUCUAAAUAAUUCGUGGCAACAAUCAAAUUGGGAAUACAUUUCUGACAAAUUCCAGUUAAGCUCUUUAUCUCCCCCUCAGCAGAUGGUUGUGCUUCUACCUAGAACUGGGAGGGAAGAAAUCAUGUGAACUCUGGAAAAAAAACCCGCUAAGCUUUGAUUAAAAUGGAAAACGGCAUAAAAAAGAAAUGAAAGCAUUUUGGAGGACUGAAAAGCUCAGUGUCCUGUGACCUUUCUAUCAUGAAAUCCCACAGAUUUUUAACUCAUUAUUUUCAAGGUAGCAGAUGAAAGAAAUCCUUACCACAAGACUCAUGGCGGGUUGGAGCAGGAUGAAAAGUAUUGACACAGAUCUGUAGGAAAGAUAAAUUUAACAAUAAUCAGGACUGUGUGUAGACUGAUUGUGCAGAAGUACUGAAAAAUCCUUAUAUGCUUGAAAUUGAAAAUGUAUGGAAAACCUGUGCCAAAGUGGCUGGAUAAGGGUGGGUGAAUACUAUUUCUAAUGCUUGGAGAAUCAUGUUGUCCUUGGGAUUCAGUGUCCUGCCCUCCAUCACUAUGCAAUAUAACAAGUAAAUGAAUAAAUAAAUCACAAAGUAAAUUAUGCAAAAUAAGGGAAUUAUACAGAGUUGUUCAGUUUAAUUUAUACAGGUCACAGAAUUCACUGUUUCUACACACAGAAUUAGGAUGGCCUGGGUACACCAUUAUAGUUUUUUUUUUUUUAAGGCAGAAGUUUACCACCAGGGAAACAGUGUUUGGAGGGAAUGUAGAACAUGUUUUUGCUCAAGGGUGUUUUGUUCCUAAGUCCUAGUAUGUGGAGGGACACAUUACGUAUAUCCCCCUGCCCAUGAAAACUUUAUUGUAAAAUACAGUAACUGAAUUAAAGAGUUAACAUGAUCCCACAGCUCAGGUUGCAAGUGGGUGUGGCUUUAUAAGCUCUCAGCAGCCUCUACUCCCCCCUUCUCAGUCUUCUCUUUGCACUUACUGGAACAAUUCAUGACUCCUUGCAAGUAAAAAGGUGAUUUUUAUAGCCUGCAUAUUUGCUAACCCAAAUAUUGCAUGAUCCUUUUUGAAAGGAAACCAAGUUUUUCCCUUUUAGUCAUUUGAAAUCAUUUUUAUAUUUAUUGUACUGCCAGCAGAUGGAGACUUGUUUACUGUAACUUUUGGAAACUCUGUUGGUAAACUCUGUUGGAAACAUACACUUAUUUGCAAAGCGAAGUGUAUGUGAUUUAUUCUAGCCUAAGUCUUUUCACAGGGAACAUUUAUUUAAAGGUGGAUGAAGGCAGAUGCAAAUUCUAACCAAGUAUUAAUGUGCUUGGAGCAAUCACCAUUUUGCCGCUAUGAAAGAGUAAGGAUCUUUCUCCCAAAACUCUCUCUCCAGUAGGCUUUCUUAAUCAGCCUUGUGAAUUCUAACACUUCAGGCAGGCACUUAGAGAGCUUUUCCAUGGGGUUGUGCUGGCCUUGGAGGCAAUGACUGCAGUAGCACCAGCACAAUAUGCAGGACCUCGCAUACCAUGCCAGACCUCAAACUGUCACUUUUCAGAUCUGAAAGGCAGGCAGGCAGGCAGGGAGGAGGAGGAGGAAGUGGCCCAACAAGAGAGACUCAUUGCCUUCAGAAUGUGGAAGGUGUCCAGUUUUUCAAGUAAGAUCUGGGGCACUCAUUGCAGAGGCACAAAAGGAGCAAAGAAAAGGGCAUUGUCCUUCCUUGGAAAGACACUAAGUUCUACAUGAGUGCUAAUUGUUGUCAACUCCCUUAGAUGGGAGGAUGCUGUAGGCACAUGCAAGAGAAGGUUUCACAUCAAUUGCCAGGCAACUAAUGUGUGAUGAGCAGCUGUGUUUCUGACUCAGCCAGGAUCAAGAAUGAUCCCCCUUCAUGUUGUCAUGCUUUUCAGAUGCUUUCAAUUAGCCAUCUGAGUGACAUUAAUCAUCCCAUCUCCUCUCUGUAAUAGAAAGAUGUUUACAUAUAAUCUGAUCUAAUGUUUGCUCCCAAAAUAGGAGCUGCCAUUUUUGAAACUUGGCACAGAACCAUCUCUGCUUUUCAUCCACCAGGGACAGAGGAUGAAAAACAAGAGCUGAUUGGACUGCAAUUUAAGUGGCGAUUCCAUUCGUAUUUUCUGUCUUUUCCACUGGAACAAUUUCAUUUGAUUCUGCUCCCAGGGUAGUUUCCUUGAUAAUGACUUUACUUCUGUUUUAUGUAAGCCAUUUAGGCUACAGUCCAGUAACCCCAUUGAAUUUCAUAGGACUUGCCUCUGAGUAGACAUAGGAUUGUACUGUAAAUUAAUCUAAAGCCGUUACUCUCUGUUCCUUUUAAUUCUAGAGCAUUGUCUACUCACAUGCUAGAAACAAAGAACUUCCCUCAUUCCCUUUCACUGGCUUGGGCCACAGAAACAUUGAUAUCUCUGGCCUAAGAAAUCAGGUGACAACUGGGGAUGCCCUCUUUCCCAAUCCCAUUCAACAUCCAGGUCUUCUCUUUUGACAGGCAGAGCCAGUAUCUGUUACUGCAGUGGUUUUCAACCAGUAUGCCAUGGCACCGUGGGGUGCCUUGAAUGAUAGUCAGGUGUGCCACGGGCAACCCUGGCCUCUGUCCCUCUUUCCUUCCCUCCUCUGAUUCCCUCUUGCAUAGCUGCUUCCCAAAGGCUUGCACAGCUGUUGCAGCAGCCCUGGCUACAAGCUUGGCCAGCGAAUGGUGGCUCUGGGGCUGGCCAGGGGAGCUGGUUGCCAGGAGCUGAGGCAGCCUCAAAGCAAGCAAGCAAGCAGGUGAAGGAGCCCAGCCAGCCAGCCCACCAGACCUUGUUGUUGGGAAUUGAUGGACAAGUGGGAGGGUAGGCAGGGAGGGAGGCGCUGUGCUGGCCUUCCAUGUGCUGCCUGCCUGGGAGCUGAGUGUCUGGUGCUGAAGGGGAGCCUUUCCGCCAUGCUGUCCUGGCAGUGCCCGCUGCUGCCACUGCUGCCUCCUAAGGCUGAAGGAGAGGAGCACUUCAGGCUAUCUGCUCUUACGGUACUUAAAAAAUGAAAUGAAAAAUGAAAGAGAAUGGGCUGCAGUUCUGCUUCAAGCAGCUGCUUCCUGCUCAGACCAACACGGCUACCUACCAGAAGCAGCUUGGAAGAUACUGCAACUAGGAAUGAGUCAAAAUGAAGAACACUUUUCAUGAAGAUAUUUAAGAUGCUUUUCAGGGAAUUUCUGUGAAUGAUAAUUGAAGAGUUCGCUCAUUCAGAGUGAGGGCAAUGCUUCCUGUCCCCCCCUCUGAGUUGAUUAUGCAACAUCAUGUGAUAGUGUGACAUCAUCCAAAUCACUUUGUGAUCCCUGAUUGGCAGGGACCACACGGUGGUCAAUUUCAGCUAUGAAAAGCAGUGAAAAAAGGAGAAAAGGGAACUUGGGAAAUAUUUGGAGAGCCUACAGAACAUGACUUUUGCAACAUACUCAUUUGUCAAAGUCCAGUGCUAUGCUAACUGCAGCAUGACAAUCCUACCAAUAAUGUUUGAAGGUGAAAUAUGGGUGAGCUGCCAGUGUGGAUACUUUCCAUGCCAUUAAAUAGACGUCUAAAGUUGUUAUGUCUGAAGCAUCAUUAAAAGGAUGGUUGCAACCCUUCCUCAUGUUCUGUUCUGUAGAAUAGAUUUCUUUAAGACUUUGUAACACACACACACACACACACACACACACACACACACAACCCCCCCGCAAAUGUGCAAUAACAGAUCCUGUUAGUGUGGGAGAGCUUGCAUUUAAAAGAGUUCAGAUUCAUUCCUAGAUAUCUCCAUUUUUUAAAAGGGCGGAUAGGAAGACUGGGAAGGACUCCUGCAGGAGAUCCCAGAGAGCCACUGCUAGUCAGAGAAGAUCAUACUCAGACUAAAAGCCCAACCCAUGCCUCUCCAGAAUUAAGUCCCACAGAGUUCAGUGGGGCUGGCUCUCGGUAGGUGCAGGUGUUGUGUAAAGCAGUCUGAAUGAUGCCCUGUAUACUUGCAUCUCAGCAUUUCUCCUUGGAGCUUGCUGCUGUUUUUCCUGUUCAGAGAAGCUUGGUUUGCCCUUAGCUUUUUGCUUUAUAUUGUCUUUCUGGUUAUCACCAGGUCCUAAAUCCUGCAAACUACCGUAUUUAUGCAAAUCUAAUGUGCCAGCGAAUCUAAUGCGCACCUCAAUUUUCAAAACCUUGAAACCAAAAAAGUAUUUGCUGGCACCAUCAAAUCGAAUGUGCACCCUAAUUUUUGCGACGUACUUUGGCCAAAAAAAGGUGUGCAUUACAUUUGAGUAAAUAUGGUAUAUGAAAAAUCUAUAACUACAUUGGAUUAAUGAAGAACUGUGGAUAACAGCUAGACGCUAGAAAGUUUAAAUUGUCCUCCUGUGCUGGGUUUGGUGGAAUGGUCAAAUGUACAAGUUGUGGCUUACAGAGAUAUGCAACAGUAGAACAGGUAUGAUUAUUAUCCAUUCAACGAUAGUGAGAGCAUCUUCCUUGCAGGCUUUUUCCUGGCUGUUUGGUAAGCAUCUCUCUCUCUCUUCCUUUGCCUAAGGCUUGUGGCCAUAAAAGCAAAUGACAAAGUUGGUUUUUCCCUUCGCAAUUCUGCCUUUGUAAAAAGCAGUAACCGCUGUUUUAAGCCUAAAGGUGUUUUGUACUGUUUUGAUUGUGGACUCAAGUCCCAGAAUUGCCAAAAGCCACUGCACACUGUUUUUGGAUCUGCAAGUUCCAAUGGUUCUGCCUCAGUACCACCUUUAAAGAUAGUCCUUUAGGCCCAUGCUGGUGGCAUAAUUUUAUAUAUAUACACCAUACACAGCAUUAAAUGUUCAACUGGAUGUGUGAGAGGUGAAAGCCUCAUAUCCGUUUCUAAAACAGAACCCACCCACACACCAGGAGUUUGCAUAUAAAAAAAGCUUCUUAAAAUGAAGGAAGCUUGUUAGGAAGGAGAGAAUAGUUAAAGUAGAGAAUGCAUCUGUUUUGAAGGUUUUCCGUAUCCAGUCUGAAAGAUUUAAUUUAUUAUGGUGCACUGAAGUCUUUCUAUCUAUGCCGGCAUUGACAAUCUGGUUUGAUUAUUAUUAUACAAAUUGAAUGUGUGACACAACUUUGCAGUGUUUCUGUUCAAAUUUCCAACCAGCCAGCAUCUUCCUGGAAUUGACGAUUGUGUUCCUCCUCCUUGUUAGUGUUCUGGUUUUCCUUGCAACAGACAUUCAGGAUUUAAUGACCACUGAGCAUGCUGUUCUCUUUGGACUGUUAGUCCCCCACCCCCCCAAAAAAAUAUUUUCUGUAAUCCUUGGGGACGGGGGUUCUCCUUCAGCAUGGCAACAGUUCCACAGCAGCCUUCUUUUGGCCACAUUCCCAUAAGCGUUCAUCAGCUGAGUUCCAUUAGAGCUCAUGUUCUAUUUUCUGUGUUUCAUAUUUAAAAGCAUUCAUUUUUUAAAAUCCUGUUUCCUGACUGUUGGUAAUGGAAUGACUGUUUGGAUGAUAUCCAGAAAAGCUGUGCCUAGUGUAUAAACUACAUUAAGAUGAAAAUUCCUGUUAUGAAAAGCAUGAGGUCUAUUACAGGAAAGAACUUGAUGCAUGAAUACUAGAUCAGCCUUUCUCUCAACUUUGGAUUCCCAGAUGUUGUUGCCCUACAACUCCCACCAUCCCUAGCUAGCAGGACCAUUGGUCAGGGAUGAUGGGAGUUGUAGUCCAACAUCUGGAGACCCAAGGUUGAGAAAGGCUGAUACCCAAGUUGCUGCCCUCUAGAUGUUGCUGGUACCCCAACUCCCACGAUGAUGGGAGCUGGAAGCCAGUAGCAGCUCAAGGGGACCAUGUUGGCUACCCUGUUCUAGAUCAGGGGUCAGCAAACUUUUUCAGCAGGGGACUGGU